rnacentral:rRNA from 1 species
GACGAACGCUGGCGGCGUGCCUAAUACAUGCAAGUAGAACGCAGUUGCGAACGGGAGAGUAACGCGUAGGUCACUGCCUGGUAGCGGGGGAUAACUAUUGGAAACGAUAGCUAAUACCGCAUACUACCAGAUGGACGUGCGUUGUAUUAGCUAGUUGGUGGGGUAAAGGCUCACCAAGGCAACGAUACAUAGCCGACCUGGGAGGUUGAUUCGGCACACUGGGACUGGGACACGGGCCAGACUCCUACGGGAGGCAGCAGGAGGGAAUCUUCGGCAAUGGGGGGAACCCUGACCGAGCAACGCCGCGUGAGUGAAGAAGGUUUUCGGAUCGUUAAGCUCUGUUGUUAAGGAAGCGGUACUUAACCAGAAAGGGACGGCUAACUACGUGCCAGCCGCCGCGGUAAUAC